rnacentral:rRNA from 1 species
GCCCUACGGGGCGCAGCAGGCGCGAAAACUUUACAAUGCGGGAAACCGUGAUAAGGGGACACCGAGUGCCAGCAUCAUAUGCUGGCUGUCCGGGUGUGUAAAAUACACCUGUUAGCAAGGGCCGGGCAAGACCGGUGCCAGCCGCCGCGGUAACACCGGCGGCCCGAGUGGUGAUCGUGAUUAUUGGGUCUAAAGGGUCCGUAGCCGGUUUGGUCAGUCCUCCGGGAAAUCUGACGGCUUAACCGUUAGGCUUUCGGAGGAUACUGCCAGGCUUGGAACCGGGAGAGGUAAGAGGUACUACAGGGGUAGGAGUGAAAUCGUGUAAUCC